rnacentral:rRNA from 1 species
AGUGAACGCUGGCGGUAGGCCUAACACAUGCAAGUCGAACGGCAGCACAGUAAGAGCUUGCUCUUACGGGUGGCGAGUGGCGGACGGGUGAGGAAUACAUCGGAAUCUACUUUUUCGUGGGGGAUAACGUAGGGAAACUUAAGCUAAUACCGCAUACGCCCUACGGGUGAAAGCAGGGGAUCUUCGGACCUUGUGCGAUUGAAUGAGCCGAUGUGGGAUUAGUUAGUUGGCGGGGUAAAGGCCCACCAAGGCGACGAUCCGUAGCUGGUCUGAGAGGAUGGUCAGCCGCACUGGAAGUGAGACACGGUCCAGACUCCUGCGGGAGGCAGCAGUGGGGAAUGUUGGACAAUGGGCGCAAGCCUGAUCCAGCCAUACCGCGUGGGUGAAGGAGGCCUUCGGGUUGUGAAGCCGUUUUGUUGGGAGAGAAAAGCAGCAGGUUAAUACCCCGCUGUUCUGACGGUACCCAAAGAAUAAGCACCGGCUAACUUCGUG